AUGGUAAUGGAUUUUUUCUUUUCUCUCGAUUAUAUGCUGACUCUGCUUGUCAUUUGUGUCCUGCGCUGCUUAGUGUGAACACUCUUUAGAUUUACUACAAAAUUCAUACAAUCAAAAUAUCUACGUGCAAAACUAAUGACAACCACCCAAACUGAUUUUAAUGCUGGCUAGAUAUACUAUGGCCGAACUAUGACAGAUGUCGACGCAUGCACGCACAUUACAUACCUUACCGAGUUUUUAUGUGAGCUUUUAUUUAGCGUAAUGAAAAAUCAGCAAUGUAUGCCGAACCGCCAAAGUUUGACGAACUUUUUCGCGACAAUCGCAACCACAACGCCGACACCACUGCUAAGAAGCCCAGGACUAGGAAAUACCAGAUCAUGCUGAACUGUGGGACAAAAUUAUUCGUUAUGCGAACAAAUAUUGGACGUUAUCAGAGAGUGAGUUUAGCUGCUGUGAGUAAACUGUAAAGUCAACCGUUGUACACGGUAUCA